ACGAACGUUGGCGGCGUGGAUUAGGCAUGCAAGUCGAACGAAUCCCUGUGGUGUAGCAAUACAUUGCAGGGGGAAGUGGCGAAAGGGGCAGUAAUGCAUGGGUAACCUACCUUGGGGAUGGGCAUAGCCGUUCUAACGAACGGGUAAUACCCAGCGAUUCGGCGGGAGGGCAUCCUUCUACCGGGAAAUGAGUUUCGCCUCGAGAGGGGCCCAUGUCGUAUUAGCUAGUUGGUGGGGUAACGGCCUACCAAGGCAAAGAUGCGUAGCGGGUGUGAGAGCACGACCCGCGCCACUGGCACUGAGACACUGGCCAGACACCUACGGGUGGCUGCAGUCGAGGAUCUUCGUCAAUGGGCGCAAGCCUGAACGAGCGACGCCGCGUGCGCGAUGAAGGCCUUCGGGUUGUAAAGCGCGAAAGUGGGGAUAAAACCGCAAGGUUGAUUGAUCCACAGUAAGGACGGGCUAAGUUCGU
rnacentral:rRNA from 1 species